rfam:Salmo salar isolate Sally breed double haploid chromosome ssa04, whole genome shotgun sequence.
UGUAUUCACUACUGUAAGUCGCUCUGGAUAAGAGCGUUUGCUAAAAUGUAAUAUU